CAUGCACCAGUGGGGUCCCUCAGCCUGGCCUGCACCCUCUCACAAUCAGGGACUCCUUGGGGGAUGUUGGACUACUGGUUUUGGCCUGACCCCCCAGGCCAGGCUGAGGGACUCCACUGGUGCAUG
rnacentral:pre_miRNA from 1 species